GACGAACGCUGGCGGCGUGCUUAACACAUGCAAGUCGAACGGUAAGGCUCCAGCUUGCUGGGGUACACGAGUGGCGAACGGGUGAGUAACACGUGGGUGACCUGCCCUGCACUUCGGGAUAAGCCUGGGGAACUGGGUCUAAUACCGGAUAGGACCGCACCGUGAGGGUGUGGUGGAAAGUUUUUCGGUGUGGGAUGGGCCCGCGGCCUAUCAGCUUGUUGGUGGGGUAAUGGCCUACCAAGGCGGCGACGGGUAGCCGGCCUGAGAGGGUGGACGGCCACAUUGGGACUGAGACACGGCCCAGACUCCUACGGGAGGCAGCAGUGGGGAAUAUUGCACAAUGGGCGGAAGCCUGAUGCAGCGACGCCGCGUGGGGGAUGACGGCCUUCGGGUUGUAAACUCCUUUCACCAUCGACGAAGGGUUUCUGACGGUAGAUGGAGAAGAAGCACCGGCUAACUACGU
rnacentral:rRNA from 1 species